GGACUACUGGGGUAUCUAAUCCUGUUUGCUCCCCACGCUUUCGCGCCUCAGCGUCAGUUUCGGUCCAGAUGGCCGCCUUCGCCACCGGUGUUCUUCCCAAUAUCUACGAAUUUCACCUCUACACUGGGAAUUCCACCAUCCUCUCCCGAACUCUAGCCAACGAGUAUCAAACGCAAUUCCCAGGUUAAGCCCGGGGCUUUCACGCCUGACUACGUCGGCCGCCUGCGCGCCCUUUACGCCCAGUAAUUCCGAACAACGCUUGCCCCCUUCGUAUUACCGCGGCUGCUGGCAC
rnacentral:rRNA from 1 species